GUACAGAUUGACAACAUGUCAAAACAUUGCUAGCUAUUCUGGAACAUCAAUACAUUUAUAGUAGUUAUAUACAAUUGAAGAGUUCUUGACCUAUUAAUUUAUAUCUACUAUUGCUUCUAGAUCAGGGUCAUUGAGCACCCCCGGGAGAAUGAGUAGUCCAAAAGUGUGUCCUGGCCACUUUAUCUUUAUUUCGAUUGUAAUCAACUACUUUGAUAAUGCAUAGCCAGUUUGCAAGUGUGCCAAAUCUGACUCACAAUUCAACAUUGAGGCUUUUUGGGAAAAUAACCAAUAAC